UUUUGGCCGAGUGGUUAAGGCGAUGGACCGCUAACCCAUUGUGCUCUACAUGCAUGGGUUCGAAUCCCAUCCUCGUCGUCUAAU